CUAUCGCGCCUUGCCACGCCCGCUCGUCAGAGUUUGAUCCUGGCUCAGAACGAACGCUGGCGGCAGGCUUAACACAUGCAAGUCGAGCGCACUCUUUUAGAGUGAGCGGCAAACGGGUGAGUAACGCGUGGGAAUCUACCCCUCUCUACGGAAUAACACAGAGAAAUUUGUGCUAAUACCGUAUACGUCCCUUUUGGGAGAAAGAUUUAUCGGAGAUGGAUGAGCCCGCGUUGGAUUAGCUAGUUGGUGAGGUAACGGCCCACCAAGCGACGAUCCAUAGCUGGUCUGAGAGGAUGAUCAGCCACACUGGGACUGAGACACGGUCCAG
rnacentral:rRNA from 1 species